ensembl:lncRNA
CUUACUGAGAGCCUAUUAUAUGCCAGGCAGGGUGCUGGCCCUAUGGAUGAGAAUCCCAUAGACAAGUCCCUACUCUCAAGGAGUGCCUAUUCCAGAUGGCGCAGAGGUUUCAUCUCACAGGCCAAAUCCAGGUGGUAUUAGCUACCUGCCACAUUAUUCUGAGAGAAUUCUGAGCUGCCUCUGGGCUUAGCAACAAGGGGUGUUACUGGCUGUUUACUCAGGUCUGUGAAGGGUGCUGUUACAGAGUUUCUGAGUGCAUGGUGCAUAUUGGAUACCAAUGGUUUAGAUUUUUGAAGAUGGUUAUGCAAGUACAUAACAAAGCAGAAACAUAUCCUGGUCGGAGCACAGCUUCUAGUUUUCAUUUUGAAAAUAGCCACUGUAGAUCUAAUAACUAAGCCCUACCCUCAAGGAACUUAGGCUCCAAUUGGUGGCUAGCCACCCUGGUGGCUCAGAUGGUAAAGAAUGCAUCUGCAAUGUGGGAUACCUGGGUUCAAUCCCUAGGUUGAGAAGAUCUCCUGGAGGAGGGCAUGGCAGCCCACUCCAGUAUUCUUGCCUGGAGAAUUCCCAUGGACAGAAGAGCCUGGCGGGCUACAGUCCAUGGGGUCACAAAGAGUCAGAUAGGACUGAGCGACCAAGCGUGCACAUGCUUAAAAUAUAAAAAAAUUUAAAAAGGACACAUGAACAAUACAAGAUGAUUACUAUCAAAGAACAGAACGGAAGAGCACAGUCUGAUCCAGAGCUCAGAAGCAAGACAGGCCACACGGAUGGACGUGAUCAUGGAGCCUUCCUGGAAGAGGAGCUUGGAGUGAGGGCGGGCGGAAGGCAUUCCAGGAGAAACAGCACCAAAGACAGAGGUUGUUGUUCACUCAGUCGUGUCCGACUCUUUGUGACCCCAUGGACUGCAGCACACCAGGCUUGCCCGUCCUUCCCCAUCGCUUGGAGUUUGCUCAAACUCACGUUCAUUGAGUUGGUGAUGCCAUCCAACCAUUUCAUCCUCUGACGUCUCCUUCUCCUCCUGCCUUCAAUCUUUCCCAGCAUCAGGGUCUUUUUCAAUGAGUCGGCUCUUCGAAUCAGGUGUCUAAAGUAUUGGAGCUUCAGUUUCAGCAUCAGUCCCUCCAGUGAAUAUGGGAGGGACUAUAUUCUGAAGACUUUGUAGCAUGCUUCAAGGGCAUGCUACAGAAAAGUAUCAGUUCUUCUUGGUGACUGCAACUGGGGAGAAGUCAGAGCUGGAGGUGGCUAAAACAGCAGGGCACGGAGGGAGCAC